UACGAAGGGGGCUAGCGUUGUUCGGAAUUACUGGGCGUAAAGCGCGCGCAGGCGGUCUUCCAAGUCAGUGGUGAAAGCCUGGAGCUCAACUCCAGAACUGCCAUUGAAACUGUUAGACUUGAGUACGAGAGAGGUGAGUGGAAUUCCCAGUGUAGAGGUGAAAUUUCGUAGAUAUUGGGAAGAACACCAGUGGCGAAGGCGGCUCACUGGCUCGUAACUGACGCUCAGGCGCGACAGCGUGGGGAUCAAAACAGG
rnacentral:rRNA from 1 species